ACGUAGGGUGCGAGCGUUAAUCGGAAUUACUGGGCGUAAAGCGCGUGCAGGCGGUGCGAUAAGUCGUGCGUGAAAGCUCCCGGGCUUAACCGGGAGAGGACGUGCGAGACUGUCGGACUAGAGGCAGGUAGAGGCAAGUGGAAUUCCGCGUGUAGCAGUGAAAUGCGUAGAUAUGCGGAGGAACACCGAUGGCGAAGGCAGCCUCCUGGGCCAGUACUGACGCUCAUGCACGAAAGCGUGGGGAGCAAACAG
rnacentral:rRNA from 1 species